AUGUAGGACAAUCUGUCUUUAAGCAGUGAUAAAUAAUUGUUCACUUUUUCCCUUCAAGUUAAGCAUCUUGC
rnacentral:pre_miRNA from 1 species